UGAGUACGAGAUGCUACGGCAUCGAAGCAGUCUAUGUCAUACUUCCAAGAAAAGCUUGCAAUGUCAUAAACAAAAUAAUGCCUGUACCAUAACCGACACAGGUGGGUAGGUAGAGUAUACUAAGGGGCGCGAGAUAACUCUCUCUAAGGAACUCGGCAAAAUGACUCCGUAACUUCGGGAGAAGGAGUGCCUUAUUUUUAUAAGGUUGCAAUAACAACAUCCAAGCAACUGUUUACCAAAAACACAGGUCUCCGCUAAGUCGUAAGACGAUGUAUGGGGGCUGACGCCUGCCCAGUGCCAGAAGGUUAAAGAAGUUGGUUAGCAUUAGCGAAGCUGAUAACUGAAGCCCUGGUGAACGGCGGCCGUAACUAUAACGGUCCUAAGGUAGCGAAAUUCCUUGUCGGGUAAGUUCCGACCCGCACGAAAGGUGUAAUGAUUUGGAUACUGUCUCGGAGAGGGGCUCGGUGAAAUAGACUUGUCUGUGAAGAUGCGGACUACCUGCACCUGGACAGAAAGACCCUAUGAAGCUUUACUGUAACUUGAGAUUGAAAUUGGACUUUAUCUGCGCAGUAUAGGUGGGAGACGUUGAAAAUAUUCUUGCGGGAAUAUUGGAGUCAUCAGUGAGAUACCACUCUUAUAAUGUUAGAUUUCUAACUUUGUAUCAUUAUCUGGUCAAAGAACAGUUUCAGGCGGGCAGUUUGACUGGGGCGGUCGCCUCCCAAACGGUAACGGAGGCGCACAAAGGUUUCCUCUGAACGUGUAGAAAUCGUAUCUAGAGUGUAAAGGCAUAAGGAAGCUUGACUGUGAGACCUACAAGUCGAGCAGGGACGAAAGUCGGUCUUAGUGAUCUGACGGUGCUGAGUGGAAAGGCCGUCACUCAACGGAUAAAAGUUACUCUAGGAUAACAGGCUGAUCUCCCCCAAGAGUUCACAUCGACGGGGAGGUUUGGCACCUCGAUGUCGGCUCAUCGCAUCCUGGGGCGGUAGUACGUCCCAAGGGUUGGGCUGUUCGCCCAUGAAAGCGGUACGCGAGCUGGGUUCAGAACGUCGUGAGACAGUUCGGUCCAUAUCCGGUGUAGGCGUUAGAAUAUUGAGAGGAGCCUUCUUUAGUACGAGAGGACCGAGAAGGACAUACCUCUGGUGUACCAGUUAUCGUGCCAACGGUAAACGCUGGGUAGCCAUGUAUGGAGAGGAUAACCGCUGAAAGCAUCUAAGUGGGAAGCCCACCUCAAGAUAAGUAUUCUC
rnacentral:rRNA from 1 species